UACGUAGGGAGCGAGCGUUGUCCGGAAUCAUUGGGCGGAAAGCGCGUGUAGGCGGCUUGAUAAGUCUGGUGUGAAAUCUUGGGGCUCAACCCCAAGCCUGCACUGGAUACUGUCAAGCUUGAGUCCGGGAGGGGAGAGCGGAAUUCCUAGUGUAGCGGUGAAAUGCGCAGAUAUUAGGAAGAACACCGGUGGCGAAGGCGGCUCUCUGGAACGGUACUGACGCUGAGACGCGAAAGCGUGGGGAGCGAACAGG
rnacentral:rRNA from 1 species